rnacentral:rRNA from 1 species
UUGAGUUUUUGAUCUGGCUCAGGACGAACGCUGGCGGCGUGCCUAAUACAUGCAAGUCGAGCGGACCUCUUCGGAGGUCAGCGGCGGACGGGUGAGUAACACGUGGGCAACCUGCCUGUAAGACUGGGAUAACUCCGGGAAACCGGAGCUAAUACCGGAUACUAUGUCAAACCGCAUGGUUUGACAUUCAAAGACGGUUUCGGCUGUCACUUACAGAUGGGCCCGCGGCGCAUUAGCUAGUUGGUGAGGUAAUGGCUCACCAAGGCGACGAUGCGUAGCCGACCUGAGAGGGUGAUCGGCCACACUGGGACUGAGACACGGCCCAGACUCCUACGGGAGGCAGCAGUAGGGAAUCUUCCGCAAUGGACGAAAGUCUGACGGAGCAACGCCGCGUGAGUGAUGAAGGUUUUCGGAUCGUAAAACUCUGUUGUCAGGGAAGAACAAGUGCCGGAGUAACUGCCGGCGCCUUGACGGUACCUGACCAGAAAGCCACGGCUAACUACGUGCCAGCAGCCGCGGUAAUAC